GGGGAGCCGGAGGAGGCGCCGGACGCCGGGAGCUGAGCGCCGGACCCCUACUCGGGCGGGAGCGCGGGCCGGAGUCCCUGAGGUCAAGAGGCAACUGCCAUUGAGAGAUAGUGAGUGCCUGUUUCUAAGGCAGCAAAGUAUCAGGGGAGCCACCAGAAGCAUUAACAGAAAGCUUAAAUUACCUAAAUGGUCACAUGGAUUUGAGGGUAUCAUUGGAGACUGACAGUGAUCCUUGGUGAAAUUCUAAAACUGAGCAAAGGAUGAGAAUAUAGUGUCCCCUGGAAGCCAUCUGUGUCCACUUCAUUGAUAAUGGUCUCCAGCUGCCAAAGAAGGUUGUGGAUGCCAAGAGAAAGGUAACCAUUUCUCAGCCCCUUGAGUGGAACUGGAUGCCUCUCGGAGCCCACCCCGGCUGGCAGUAGACAUGGCUGAAUUUACAAGCUACAAGGAUACUGCCUCUAGCCGCCACUUGCGGUUUAAGUUACAGAGUCUAAGUCGCCGCCUCGAUGAGUUGGAGGAAGCCACAAAAAACCUCCAGAAAGCAGAGGACGAGCUCCUGGAUCUCCAGGACAAGGUGAUUCAGGCGGAGGGCAGCAACUCCAGUAUGUUGGCGGAGAUUGAAGUGUUGCGCCAGCGAGUGCUGAGAAUCGAAGGCAAAGAUGAGGAAAUUAAGAGAGCAGAGGACCUGUGCCAGCUGAUGAAGGAGAAGCUCGAAGAGGAAGAAAACCUCACCCGGGAGCUGAAAUCUGAGAUUGAACGGCUUCAGAAACGAAUGGCUGAACUGGAGAAACUGGAGGAGGCCUUUGGCAGGAGUAAGAAUGACUGUACCCAACUCUGUCUGAGCCUGAAUGAGGAGAGAAACCUGACAAAGAAGAUCUCCGCUGAGCUGGAAAUGCUCAGGGUCAAAGUGAAAGAACUGGAAUCUUCUGAGGACCGCCUGGAUAAAACUGAGCAGAGUUUAGUGUCAGAGCUAGAAAAACUGAAAUCAUUAACUCUGAGCUUUGUAAGUGAGAGAAAAUACUUGAACGAAAAGGAGAAAGAGAAUGAGAAACUGAUAAAAGAGCUCACUCAAAAACUGGAGCAGAACAAAAAAAUGAACCGAGAUUAUUCAAGGAAUGCUUCUAAUCUUCUGGAAAGGAAUGACCUGCGGAUUGAGGAUGGGAUCUCCUCCACACUUCCGUGCAAAGAAUCAAGAAGGAAGGGCGCUCUGGACUAUCUAAAGCAGGUAGAGAACGAAACAAGAAACAAAUCAGAAAACGAAAAGAACCGAAAUCAAGAAGACAACAAAGUUAAAGAUCUCAACCAAGAGAUUGAGAGACUCAAGACACAAAUCAAACAUUUUGAAUCUUUGGAAGAAGAACUUAAGAAAAUGAGGGCCAAAAAUAAUGAUCUUCAGGAUAAUUACCUAAGUGAACAAAAUAAAAACAAACUCUUAGCCAGUCAGCUGGAGGAGAUAAAGCUACAAAUCAAGAAACAGAAAGAGUUAGAGAAUGGGGAGGUAGAAGGGGAAGAGGCGUUCCUGUCCAGCAAAGGCAGACACGAGAGGACUAAGUUAAGAGUCCAUGGGAAUGAGGCAUCUGUGUCCAAGCACACACCGCGGGAACUGUCCCCUCAGCAGAAGCGGGAGAGGCACCGAAACAGAGAUAUUGCACUCCACAAUGAAAACUGUUCUCUGGGCAAUAGGCAGGUCUCCUCUCCCAGUUUCUCCAAUAGGAGGGCAGCCAAAGCUUCCAACGUCGGGGCCAGUACAGACAGCGGGACUCAGGAGACAAGGAGAACUGAAGAUCGAUUUGUAUCUGGCUCUUCUCAGAGUGAAGGGAAGAAGUCCAGGGAGCAGCCUUCGGUGCUUAGCCGCUACCCGCCUGCUGCUCAGGAGCACAGUAAAGCAUGGAAGAGUGCUCCCAAACCGGGUACUGAGAGUGGGUUGAAGGGAAAAGUGGAGAAGACUACACGGACAUUUAGUGAUAAUAGCACCCAUGGUUCUGUUCCCAGUGACAUACUGGGUAGAGCUGACAAGGCUUCUGAUGCCUCUGCUGAGGCCCUCUUUGGCAAGAGGGGGCAGGUACCUGGCACUGGAAGUCAGGUGACUCAGGCUGCAGAUUGUGGCAGUCCUAAGGCAGUUGGAGCUCUGGCCUCAUCUCGAGGAUCUUCCUCAGAAGGGCUGUCCAAGGGCAAAAAGGCUGCCAGUGGCCUGGAGGUUGAUACCAGUUCCCCAAAUUCUAAGCCUCAACUUUUCUCAAAGUAUCCUUAUAAUUCCAGAAGCCAAGAGAACAUCCUUCAGGGCCUUUCAACCCCAAGUAAAGAAGGUGUUGAUCAACCUGGAGCAGCUGUGAUGGAAGAGAGCAGUCAGCAUGAGGCCCUGAGGUGCCGAGUCCUCAAAUCCAGUGGCAGAGAGAAGCCAGACUCAGAUGACGACAUGGAUGUGACAUCUCUUGUUACUGCCAAACUGGUAAACACCACCAUCACUCCAGAGCCAGAGCUCAAACACCAACCCAACCCUAGAGAGAAAGCCAAAUCCCGAGGGGGACUCAGAACCUCCCUGUUUGAGAAUGAUAAAGAUGCUGGGACAGAAAGUGAGUCAGUGAAAUCUGGCAGAGCCUCCACCAAUGCCAUGGAGUUCCCAGAUGCCAAUAGUGCUGGGGUAAAAAGCCAGCGGCCCUUUAGCCCCAGAGAGGCCUUGCGGUCUAGAGCUAUCAUCAAACCCGUCAUCAUUGAUAAGGAUGUAAAAAAAAUCAUGGGAGGAUCUGGAACUGAGGCCACAACGGAGAAGCAGAAAUCCACCUCCAAACCAGGGCCAAACAAGGUGACGAGCAGCAUAACUAUCUACCCCUCUGACAGCAGCAGCCCCAGAGCCGCCCUGGGUGAGGCCCCGCGGGAAAGGCACACAUCCACCAGCAAUAUCCAGGUUGGGCCGGCAGAGCUCACAUCAGUUAGCAACCAUGUCAGCUCCCCCUUUGAGCUCUCCAUUCACAAACAUGACAUUGCCCUGCAGUUCACUGAAGCUGAGAGAAUGGGAGAUGGGUCCCUGAAGAACAAGCCAGAAACCGUGGUCUCUCGGAGCAGCAUUAUAAUCAAGCCAUCGGAUCCUGUGGAGAGGAAUAGCCAUGUCCCCCCAGCGGAGACAAUCAGGUGGAAAAGCCAUAGUGCCCCUUCAGAAGUGGGCUCUUCAGAUGCCAGACAUGUUACUGUGCGGAAUGCUUGGAAGAGUAGGCGAGACUUGAACUCUUUAGAAGACCCCCCAACUCGAACAGGUAGAAAUGUGGAAGCUACCAACGCCUACACGCAGAGGGCCUCCACCGACUGUUCAGACUUUGUACAGCCCAGAUCGUACCUUUGUGACCAGGGUGCUCGAAGGGCAGGAAAUUCAGGGGAUGCCCCUGAGCUCACCUCCAGAAGGACCCAGAGUAGCCUCACCGUGGCUGAGGCGGUGACUCGUCGGAAUCGGGUGGGAGAUGCUGCCACGGCUGCAGCCUGGAACCACUCGGCAGGCGUGGAGGAAGGUGACGACUGCACACUCAGUGGCCACAGGCGACUGCACAGCUCCGUGGAGCGGUCUGAACUGCUUGCGAAGCAGGGGCUGCCAGAGCCUGGGCGAGCCCGGGCGGAGGAACGGUUACGGCCUGCCAGGCCCUGUGCUGAGGACAACUGAACCAGCUGGUGAGGUCUGCUGUCUCCUCUGCUCCUGCUUCUCCACUCUCCUGCCUUCCUGCCCCAUGAAGGAUGCAAGGCUGGUUAACCAGGCCGGACGCCAGGCCUUGGCUGGGAGACUGUGGCAGACCAGGCUGUGGCUUGGCUCAUUUUGCCAGUUGGCCCGAGGGGAUCAGAAACUACAAGCUGGACAGUCACCCAGGCGCGGCCUUCCCUGAUGCAUGAGUUCUCUGACCUUGCCCCUGCCCCCAGGUCGGAUGGGCCACUCUGGCCCCCAAAUAGGGAAAGAUCUAGAAACCCCUUGUCUCCUCACCAUACCACAGCAGCUGAAAAGCUCUUCUCUGCUCCUUAGUGGGUCAGAGGGCAGCCCCUUCUGUGUGGUUUAUUAGUCUCCUCACCGCAUCCAGUUCACUCCUUGUUUGCCCUGGAGGCCGAAGUACCCCCUAACACCUGGCAGCCAUCACCUCUGUGUAGGGGGCUUCCACUCCUUUCCCCUUUGGAGUUCCUCAGACUUGUACAGCAGAAGAGGUCUGCUGCCUCUAAGGGAUUACCGGACCAACCUUUAGGCUGAAGCUUCUCGGACACGGCCCCUUGUCUGGUAACUUUCCUGGGGGCAGAGCACACGGGUACCCACCUCUUGGGAUGACAUCAUCCCUCCCUUCCCCUGGCUCUAUGCUCACCUUCCAAAGGCAUCUGGAAGUGCACAAGCCUCACGCAUCUCCUUCCCUGGGCACCAGUAAUGCUGCUGGCACUGCCUGCUCCUCUCCCGUGGCCGGAGACACCAGGCUGACUGUGUCGUUUCCAUCUUUGGAACACUUCUGGACUGAACUGGGCCUGACCCAGCAUACUCUGCCUUCUAGGAAGUGCCCAGCAAGGGGGAAAGUGGGCAGGAAGAAACAUUUCCCAGGCACUCCACAAAGCAAUAGUUCCAUGAAAGGCAUGGACUUUCUUCCUCUUCCUUCAUCCCCCAUGGAGGAGGUAUCGCACUUUACCAAACUGAUGCCUUCCUACAGAAGUGGGCCCGUGGUUUCUGCGAACUGUCACGACGACUUCACUGGAAUAAAGGAUACGAAGAAGAUUAAAACCAGGAAGAGUUACCUUUAUAAAGGUUCCAGAAGAGGAAGAGUUCACCUCUGCUGGCCGUUGUGCUGCCAACAUGCCCGAACAAAUUGACACUCGGAUCCCAGAACACACGAUCGAAACACAGCACCACCUGUCGUACAAAAGGAGCCCACGAACUGAGGACAUGACUCCAAGAACAUGGCUCUGGGCAGAGCGGUGCCUCAACAGGAAACACUUCCUCCUCAGACCUUAUUAAAGUUUCUUCUAAUCCACUCUCAGUAUAAGCCUAGAUAGAAAUCCCUAUUACAAAUGUAUUCCUUAGGACAACAUUUAGAACUCUUUUUUAGGCUUAGGUUUGAGAAGUGCUCCCGGAAGACUAAGUCCUCAUAGAUACUUUAUGUAUAAUUAGGCACUGAAAUGAAGGAAGUGACAGGCCUCAACUCACCCUGAUAUCACAGAGCUGAGAGCACAGCCACACACACAGAAACGCAGAGCGCUCUGCUCUCGGACUGGAGGGCACCCACACCGGUAUCUGUGCAGCGGGUAUGCAGAGCAGUGCCUCGGGCAAGUUACCUUGUUAAGGUUGCCAAAUCCCAUCCUUUGGACGGCAGACGUCUUCCACUCAGGAAGAGGCGGCACAAACUGAACAGCUGGUGGCUGUUGCUUCAACACACCCAAGGGAAGGGUACAGAGAACGGCGUCACAUUUAUAAAUAAAGGUUUGGCUUGUGGAGCGGGUAUUCACAGCUAUCACUUCACAUCCUAGAGAGGUUGGAGGGAAAAGACUUUACUGGUGAUAAAGAUGACACUGAAUAUUCAGUGCACAGUAGAAUCUACAUACUGUCUCCGAUAAUUCUUACCGUAAGUUUAUGAAAUCUGUUCGUUUUCUAAUAGAAGAAAACAGGCAGUGGUGGAAUGUGGUGAAAUAGCUUGUCUAAGGCCACAUGGGUAGGUAACAGGUGCCAGGACUCAGACACUAACACUCCAACUUCAGAGUCCUGGAUCUUCACCACCACCACCACCACAUAAUUUUACCUUCCUGAGACACUGGUGGUCUUCUGGAUUAAUAGGAGAACCUUAUUAUUUAUCAGAGAUUAAGUAAAUUUGAACCAAAGUUAAGAAUAAAGGUCUGUAACAAUAAAAGCAAUACCUCUCCACCGUGGUUACGUGCUUACUAAAGGACAAGGGAAGAAUAGAACCGUAAGACUGUGGUGCGGAGCAGGCUGUUCUUGAGAAUGCACUGUGACACAGGAAGAAAGCUCAAAGUUGACUGCAGAAAAGGCACUGGAAAUAGGUUAAUGGUAUUUUUCCUCAUUGUGUUUGAUUUUUUUCAAUAAAUACCUAUUUACAUAAUUUCAAAAAAUAUAUAAAUAGCUCAAAAUUGGUAUGAAAGCUCAAUUCAUGUCUACUUUCUGUCCUUAACCUGCCUGCAAAUGGCUGUUUAAAGGCUAUAUGUCUCAACAUCAGCUAGAAGCUACAUAUGAAGGGAAAAUUGAAUGGAAAACGCUUUCAUUGGUUAUAAAAAAUCUAUACAUAUCUGUGGUAAUCUCUGCAGUUCAAGAAAACAGGCAAGCAAGGUUGAUGACCACAUCUCCACUUGUCAUGAGGGCCCUGGGAGAGGGCAGUGGGGACUAGCUACCAUAAAGAGUUCUAGACUAUUAAUUCCCAAGGUGGGUGGACAGCGGGUUGUUUGUAGUCAAUAUUAAAUGUUCCCUGAAACCAGCAACAGUGAGCACUGAGCCGCCAUGGGAAUCACAGGGCAAUUCCAUCUUUGAAGCCAACUUAUUAGCAGAUUACUCCCAGAAUCAGAAACCAGCCUGAGCGGUUAGCCCACAUAUAAAGGAAUGGAUCCAAAGAUCGAGACGCAGAUGGUGAAAUACAAGGGGCGGGGCCCACUGUGUCUAGAGGCCAAACUCCUGGUAUUUAAGAAUACGCUCAGCAAAAUGAGAUCCAAACUCAAUGGCUAUUGUUACAAUACCAAACUAAUCCACGUAUAAAUUGGAAACUCUAAAACUUGCCUCAGAUUUUUGGUUUACGCAAUGAUGGGAUCAGAACAUCAGAGACUCUACAGGGUUCCUUUUAUAAACGCUAAUUUUUAAAAAAUUAGAGGAGUCAGUUUACACAACAUUGAUCAGGAAAUGUACCAAACAUUUUUUCUGUAGGUCAAACUCAAUAAAAGACCCAUUUCAGAGUAAAAGGUUUAUCUCACCAGCGAAGCGAUGACCUACCUGAAGCAGUGUACCGAACCUGCCGCACCGCUGUAUUCAAUUUAAUGUCUAGGCCUUCUGCUAAAGCCACAGGCACACAAGAGUAGCCGUUCCUUACUGUUAAGUGGCUGCCAGUAAACUCAAAGUCAUCAUCCUAAAGAGGAGAGAAAAGGACAUACAUCCAUGUUUUCUUAAUUUAUGCCAAAUAUACUGAGUUCUGUAAGAUUAACACUAGCUGGUAGAAAAGUCAGUAUUCUAAGGCAGAACUGAAAGAACCACCACUCAGUCAUCUGCUACAGAUGCCCCAGGAAACUGGAAGGAAAAGAAAAGAUGCUAAAAUGUCCCUGAUGGCCGUAUUCUGAGUUUUCUCUUCACAGCCCUACACCUCACCCCUCAAUCCAGACUGUCCAGAAAGGGAGUGGGAGCUGGUGAAGAAGGAUGAUUCAAUACAUUUAGAUGAUUAGUUUGUUUGGCUUUUGAAUGCAUUACAGAUCUGGUAGGAUAUCAGAUUCACCAUCCUAAUUACCUUUUCUUUUACCUAAGAGCAAAAUCAGUUUUUACUUAUUAAACCUACAAGUUUGAAAGAUGAGGAAGACUUUUAAAACUGAAGGCGGUCAAACUAGAUAAAAGUAAUCUAGGCUUAUAGAGAAUGGCCCAAGACGAUCCAUAUAGUGAAGAAGUCAAGAUGUGACCUGAAAAAUUCCUAAAAUGACCCCAUUCUUUGAAUUUACAGAAAAGUUUUCCAUAUAGAGACAUUCUUAAAGGCUAGUCAGUAUUUUCUAAUUUCAUGAAAUUUCUGGGGGAAAACAUAGCAGGAUUCUUUCAGAUUAGACAAAAAAUACCGAGCUGGUAGAACUCACUACUUAAGUGACAGAUUCAUCUGCUCCCCAUACCAGUCAGUUCAAAACAUUCAAAACUUAGUAAGAUUACAAAUGGGUACAUACUGAAACUUCAAAUGAUAAAUCAGAGACUAGAACGCGUCUAAUUUAGUAUUUACGUGAAAAAAAAAGAAACUGGGAACUCUGAAAGAUUCUGACCACUCACACAAGUCCAAUCCUCACUCUAAUUCAAAUACUAAAGAAUAUGAAGGUAUAACCCAAAGAUUAAGAAUUCAAACUAAUUUUACUAGGAAAAUGUACAACACAAAUUCAAGUAGCUGAGUAAAAAUAUAAUACUUCUGGAGUCUUCGGUCUGGUCAAAGUCCAAGACUUAGAGAUUAGUCCAUUCAAGAUCAAAGAAGCUCUUCUCACCAGUUCAAGAGUAAUUCACACUUAAAAUACUUAAGAAUAAUUCAACAAGGGGAGCCUGAGUGGCUCAGGUGGUUGAGCAUCUGACUCUUGA